rnacentral:rRNA from 1 species
UACGUAGGGGGCAAGCGUUAUCCGGAUUUACUGGGUGUAAAGGGAGCGCAGACGGCAGUGCAAGUCUGGAGUGAAAGCCCGGGGCCCAACCCCGGGACUGCUCUGGAAACUGUACGGCUGGAGUACGGGAGGGGCAGGCGGAAUUCCUAGUGUAGCGGUGAAAUGCGUAGAUAUAUGGAAGAACACCAGUGGCGAAAGCGACGAUCUGGCCUGCAACUGACGCUCAGUCCCGAAAGCGUGGGGAGCAAAUAGG